CCGCCGGCACCGGCGCACGGGUGAGUAACACGUAUGCAACCUGGCCGUGACAGAUGGAUAACCCGGGAGAAAUCCCGCCUAAUACAGCAUGACGCCGCGGGAGGACAUCCUCCCGCGGCCAAAGGGGCGACCCGGUCACGGAUGGGCAUGCGGCGCAUUAGGUAGUUGGUGGGGCAACGGCCCACCAAGCCGACGAUGCGUAGGGGUUCUGAGAGGAAGGUCCCCCACAUUGGAACUGAGACACGGUCCAAACUCCUACGGGAGGCAGCAG
rnacentral:rRNA from 1 species